rnacentral:rRNA from 2 species
GUGGGUAGUUUGACUGGGGCGGUCUCCUCCUAAAGAGUAACGGAGGAGCACGAAGGUUGGCUAAUCCUGGUCGGACAUCAGGAGGUUAGUGCAAUGGCAUAAGCCAGCUUGACUGCGAGCGUGACGGCGCGAGCAGGUGCGAAAGCAGGUCAUAGUGAUCCGGUGGUUCUGAAUGGAAGGGCCAUCGCUCAACGGAUAAAAGGUACUCCGGGGAUAACAGGCUGAUACCGCCCAAGAGUUCAUAUCGACGGCGGUGUUUGGCACCUCGAUGUCGGCUCAUCACAUCCUGGGGCUGAAGUAGGUCCCAAGGGUAUGGCUGUUCGCCAUUUAAAGUGGUACGCGAGCUGGGUUUAGAACGUCGUGAGACAGUUCGGUCCCUAUCUGCCGUGGGCGCUGGAGAACUGAGGGGGGCUGCUCCUAGUACGAGAGGACCGGAGUGGACGCAUCACUGGUGUUCGGGUUGUCAUGCCAAUGGCACUG